rnacentral:rRNA from 1 species
AUGACGCAUGGCUCGAUCCUGCCCCCGCUCAUCAACACGUUCGAGGUGUACUCGCUCAUUCGGAUGGAAAACUUUACCGCUGACUCCCAGGAUGUCAGUUACAUGAAAGAAGUCAAGAAACACUACAAUUUGACACGAAUAAACUGGAAUGGAGAUCUGUGCUCCCCAAGAGAAUAUUCCUGGGAAGGUUUGACUUGCGACUACUCUAAGAGCAACCAGAAUCCGAGGAUUGUUGGAGUAAAUCUGUCUACCAGCGGACUGAAAGGUGGAUUAACCAUAGCAUUCAUGAACAUGGUAUCACUGGAAAACCUGGAUUUGUCACACAACAAUUUGACAGGAGGUAUUCCAGACUACCAAAUAAAGUCAAUAAAAGUUCUAGAUUUGUCAUAUAACCAACUCGAUGGACCAAUCCCUCAUUCUAUUCUUCAAAGAUAUCAGGCCGGUCUGCUUGACUUAAGGUUAGAAGGCAAUCCCGUAUGCUCAAAAGUCAAAGAUACGUACUGUUCAAAUAAGAAGAGCACCAAAUCUACCAUGGUCAUCGCAGUGAUAGUUCCUGUAGUACUUGUAUCCCUCCUAGUAGUGAUGUGCAUACUCUGGAAAUUGUGCUGGAAAGGAGACACUGAGGAUUAUGCUAUGUAUGAAGAGGAGACGCCCCUACAUAUUGACAUCAGACGGUUCACCUACGCAGAGCUAAAGCACAUAACAAACGACUUCAAUUCAAUAGUUGGAAAAGGAGGUUUUGGUACUGUUUAUCAUGGCACAAUGGAAAAUGCUGAUGAAGUGGUGGUAAAGGUGCUUAUGGAGACAUCAAUAGCGGAGUCAACGGAUUUCCUCCCUGAGGUGCAAACCUUGUCCAAAGUUCAUCACAAGAAUCUCGUAACUCUACAAGGAUAUUGCCAGAACAAGUGCCUAGCCCUCAUUUAUGACUUCAUGCCCAGAGGAAAUCUUCAACAGCUUUUAAGAGAAGGAGAAGACUACAGUUUGAAUUGGGAACAGCGACUUCAUAUUGCACUUGAUUCUGCACAAGGACUGGAAUAUCUACACGAGUCAUGCACCCCAUCAAUAGUUCACAGAGAUGUCAAGACCGCUAACAUCCUUCUGGACAAGAACCUGGUGGGGAUCAUAGCUGAUUUUGGGCUUUCACGGGCUUUUAACGAUGCGCACACACACAUAUCUACUGUUGCUGCUGGCACUCUUGGCUACCUUGACCCCGAGUACCAUGCAACUUUCCAGCUCACCACCAAGACAGAUGUUUACAGCUUCGGCAUCGUGCUCUUGGAAAUCAUCACUGGCAAGCCCCCGGUGUUGAUGGACCCUCAAACCUACCACCUACCAAAUUGGGUACGCCAAAAGAUUGCCAAAGGCAGUAUCCAAGAUAUCGUGGACAAGAAGCUGUUGGAUCAGUAUGACACCAGUUCCCUGCAGAGUGUGGUGGACCUUGCCAUGAACUGCGUCGAAAGCGCAGCCAUGGACCGUCCUACCAUGACCGAAGUUGUUUCAAGGCUAAAAGUGUUGCUGCCAACGGUUCCAAGUGAAAAGCAGUAUGCUUCUGCGUCCUCUCGAUGUACGAACUCCAUGGAUGCUGAAAUGCGAAGGCAGUUCCAGUUGCUGAUUUCUGAAGAAAGGAACGAGGAGAGCUCCUUCCGGUCUGGUUAUACCGGUGGGAUGCCAGAAUUAAACCCUCUAUCUGGACGUUGA